AUCGUAACGGCACCUAUUAACGCCCGAAACCUAUUAACACCCUGAGGGCCGAAACACACCAAACGCGUUUUUAAAAACGGGACGCUAGCAAAUGCAUUGUUUCCUAUGGUACGGCGCGCCUUGCGUGUGCGCCUUUUCUCCGCCACGCGUUGCGUCUUUCUAGCGUUUUUUAGAUGCGCUUCAAAGUUGAACUAUUCUCAACUUUCCAGCGCAAGGUGCGGAGGCGCACCGCUCAUCAAUGUCCCACUCGGCCCAGGCAGGUUGCGCACGCAGCUCCGCUUCCUAGGCGCCGGGCAAAACAGCCUGGUGAUUCUGCGAAUGUUUUGCCCGCCGCACUUUGUCAAGGCGUUUUUGAAGCGUCUGCCGUUUUAAAAACGUUUUUGGUGUGUUUCGGCCCUCACGCGGGUACAUGUUACCUCCGCUGCGCGUCAGGGUGCUGUUCGCCCCGUCGGGAUUUAUUUUUGGAUAUUGACCUCCGGACAAUACAUUAUCCCUUACUUGAUUUCUGUAUCAUCUCAGAUCAACAAGACUAAAUAUGUUCUACGCAUGCGCUAAACCCAGUUUGUGAGGGAUUGCGCAAUCUGAGGUGAGGCUCGUUUUUUUUUUUUUUUUACUUUCUCUGCCUCCCCUGACCGCAUGUCCCUGCUGAGGCUGGUUUGCUGUGAUCAUGCUUGGCUACUGGGUAUGAGAGCUUCAACAGCAGCUAGUCAUAGGGAUGGUGUGGUGUAAAGCCUGUGGAAACAGCGUGGGUGUGUGUGUGGACCGCUGCUGUGACAUCUGCUGCCAGGGCUGUGUGAGCUGCUGUGGUUGCCUGUGCCCCCGUGACUGUCUCUACACAUUCUGUGCCAUGUAUUACCGCCUUGCCCACUACUGUUCUGUCGGUCAGAAACCAGAGCCGGCCUAUGCCAUGCCUGGAUCACGUAAGUUUGUUUACUUCCCUCUUUCUAUCUGUAACAGUCAGGGUCCUUAUCUCUUAUUCUCUGUUCUGCCACGUAGAUCAUUCUGUGCUCACUCUCUCCUUUACAUAACUGGUACUGCCUUAUUCUCAGGUAUCUUAAGCUUGUUAUGUGUCAUGUUUCAUACAGAGAAAUGCCUCAGUGUGGGAAAAGAGGUCUAGAUGACACUUUAGCCAAGUAGAUGAAGACACAGCGGAGACAGAAGAAAAGGACUGUCCCCAAUGGCAGUCCUCCUCACCAGAAUUUUUCAUCACCAUUCACCUCUGUCUGUAUUGAUUGGGUCACCAUUUGCUUUUGAGUAGAUUGUAAAGAAUUCUGUGCUUAUUAUUUUGUGAUCGUUAAAUAAUGCCAACUCAAAAAUGAUCUUCUGUAAUAUUAGGCCAUUCUCUCUCUCUCUCCCCCCCCCCCCCCCUUGAAAAACCUCCAAUUUUUUUGAUCAUGUAUACCCAUACCUAUACUCUUUGCUCCAUAACAAAAGUUAACAAAUGAUGGCAAUUUCAAUAAAGGCCCUGCCAGGCAAAUUCAUCCACUUACUCUGUCUACAGUGCA
ensembl:lncRNA